CAUGGCUGUAAACUCUGAAUCUGAGUCAGCAUAAGCACACACCAUUACAGUGGGCAGCGUCACCCUCAUUUCCAGAGCAUAACAGCCCUCUCUCCGAUGCUGCAAUCGACAUCUGACCCUCAGCUGGAGCCCUAAAUGGAAUGCUAGGUUCCCCUAUGAAAAGGACCAGCAAUCCAAUCCAGAAGCUGCACAGCAUGUAAUGCGCUAGAGGGAGGGGCCCUAGGGGGUUGGUUCCCCGAAGGAACCCCUCAACCUCAAGACACCCAAGCCAUUUCACCAAAGUAGACCUCUUCUGGUGCACCAGAGAGGGCGCUACAAUGGAGAUUAGGCAAGGAGACCGCGCAUCUAGAGCGCCGAGCGAGCGCUGGGUUGCCGUGACAACCCGCGCUGCAGCCCGACAGCUCGACGGCACACGACACGCAGAGGAGCGAGAGGUUUGCUCUCGCUGAUCUCCGCGGUCUCCCAGAGUGUCGGGCAGACCCGCGGCUGUGCUUUUACACACAAGCGGCAGCUGGCCAACAACAGAGGGGACUCAAGCUUCCCGGAGAAAGAAGAGUCACGACCGGCGUGUCGACGUGAUCAUGUUCUCAUACGAAAACAUGAACCACCCACGAACAUCGUUUCAGCACGCGCCCAGACAUGUGAAACAGUGAUCGUGGCCGUCAGUGAGGACAGGAAACGACCGCAUCCAGAAACACACAAAUAGAAUGUCAUCUUUAAAAAGACGCAAGCUCUAUUUGUAAACCUCAUAAUUUUGGAACAAUAACUCAAUUAUGAUAUGUGAGUUUUGUAAAGUGUGUGUAAGAAAUAUCACUGAAGUAUCCGGUAUGUUUAAGUAAUUGAAACAUUCUUAAACACUGACAUUUUGAGGAGAGAUUCAGGCAACCUGUUCACAGUAAAUGAAGGAAGUGUUGUCAUUAUUUACAUCAAGACAUUUUUUGUAAAUUACAAUAAUUUCCUCUACAGUAGGCCUCUAUUUCUUCCAUCUUCCUUUUCCUUUUUUCCUCUCAGAUAAAAGCAGAAUUUAUGCGGAUAAAGACUGUGCCACUUCUGUCACCGUUCAUAGCAGCUGGACAGAAGUAAGUGCGAAGACAUACACAUCAAACGAGACUGUGUCAUAAAGAGUCUGUGUGUGUAUCUCAAUGGGGACAUUAUAACACUUGUCAGAGAAUUCCAGGACUGCAAUCCUGAAGGAGAUGAGGGAGGGGCUUCUGAGACCACUCUGGGCCUUUUUGUGACCCUUAAAGUGCUGAGUACUAGCCAGACGAUGUUGGAGUAGCAACAGAGGGUGUAAAACUGCUACAACACUUCAGAGUUUGUCCUUUGGAUUAAUAAUGCUGUUCGGAUUGAUCUACGCACUCAAGCUACGCUCAGAGUCUCAAAUUCACAUUUGAAUUCUUCCAGAAGGUAAUGAUGAAUUUGGACUUUAGGACAUCACAUAGAUGUUUGCAUCCCCUGGAAGGACAUUGAAAACUUUUAAACUUGUUCUGUAACGUUGAACUGAAGACAGUAUGAUCGAUGACACUAUGAACCGAUGACACUAACUCAAACUGCACCUAAUGCACCUUCUGGCUUCCUUUCUGAUACAUUUAAAGGGUUAGUUCACCAAAAAAUGAAGACUCUGUCAUUAAUUACUCACCCUCAUGUCGUUCCACACCCGUAAGACCUUCGUUCAUCUUCAGAACACAAAUUAAGAUAUUUUUGAUGAAAUCCGUGAGCUAUCUGGCCUCUGAUAGACUGCAACACAACUAUCACUUUCAAGGUCCAGAAAGGUAGUAAAGACAUUGUUAAAAUAGUCAACAUGACUGCAGUGGUUCAACCUUAAUAGUAUGAGGCGACGAGAAUACUUUUUGUGCGCAAAACAAAACAACAAAAACAAAAAAAAUGACUUAAUUCAAAAAUUUCUUCCCUUUUAUGUCAGUCUCCUACGCAGUUGAUGUUGUACACACAAAAUAUCUUAAUUUGUGUUUCGAAGAUGAACGAAGGUCUUAGGGGUUUGGAGCGACAUGAGGAUGACAGAAAUGUCAUUUUUGGGUGAAUAAACCCUUUAACAGAGAUGUUAGCCCUUGUGCUAUUCCUUGUCCAGGAAGUUAACUUGUGAGUAGCACACUUGGGCUACUGAAUGCCUAAAUGCUGAAACGUGACGGACAACAGAAUACCUGUUAUAUGUAAAGUAAAAUAUAAUCCUUCAGAUUGCUUUUCUUUUUCCCCAAGUGUCCUGAUUGUUUUAACAAAUGUUUACAAGGAAUGUAACCAUUUACAGAUCUGUAUCAAGUUUCAGAUAAGUGAAAGCACAAACUGAUUACCAUACUAUGCAGUGAGAUCCCAAUAUUACCUUGAAUAUGUGAAAAUAAUGUUUGAUGUUGAAAUUUGGUUCCUUGUUGAUCUAUGAACUUGUUGGCACACAGCCAUGACCAUUGUGUUAGUCUGGGAGAAGGCACAAAACUGCAGUAAACAGUUGCCUUAAUUUGUGAAAUACUGCAUUAUGUUCUGUUUUUUUCUGUCAGAUUGGAUGUUUCUUAUUAUUCCUGGAGCAAUUGUGACAAUAAAUGUUUAUAAAUGUAACACGUGUUUGACCAUUUAUUUAAUUUAAAUAAAGAAAUGUAAGGUAGUUAUAUAAAGCAAGUAAGAAUAAGUUAUUUGAAAAGAGUUUAUGUAUUACACAAGCUUAAAUUGCAGUUUAUCAGUUAACAUAACCUUUAUUUAAUUAAUUCAAGUCAACUGAACAUGAUGGGGAAGCUUAAGUAAAAGUUAACUUUUUUAAGUUGGAUUUAUGUGAUUAAAUUCGAUGGAAAUUUUAUAUGCAAUUGAAUUAACUUUUGGGGUUAAAUAUAUAUAUAUAUAUAUAUUUUUUUUUUUUUUUUUUUUUUACUAUAUUCUCUAUUGCAGUUUAAUAUCAUUUUACAGUCAUAUUUACCCAAUCUUUAUUAAUUGUUGAAUCGUUUGUCAUUUGAUCAUUACUUCAAGUUCACAAUCAUUACUUUCAAAUGAUCCUAAAAUAACUGAUUGAGUAAAAGUAACCUGAAUUAUCAUGAUCAUACUGAAAUAUUCGAUCUAAUAAAAAACAAAAAAACAUACUACUUCAUGUAGGUGUCUGCUGUAAAUGUCUGGUUCAAAAAUACUUUCGAUGUCG